CCUGGUUGAUCCUGCCAGUAGCAUAUGCUUGUCUCAAAGAUUAAGCCAUGCACGUACACACGGCCGGUACAGCGAAACUGCAAAUGGCUCAUUAAAUCAGUUAUGGUUCCUUUGAUCGCCCCAUUUGUUACUUGGAUAACUGUGGUAAUUCUAAAGCUAAUACAUGCCGACGAGCGCAGACCUUCCAGUAUGCGUGCAUUUAUCAGACCGGCUUGCCAGCCCCUUUGGUGAUGCUAGAUAACCUUGGGCUGAUCGCACGUCCCCAUGACAACGACGAUGCAUUCGGAUGUGUGCCCAGUCAACUUUCGAUGGUAAUUCUGUGCCUACCAUGGUGACCACGGGUAAUGGGGAAUCGGUGUUCGAUUCUGGAGAGGGAGCCUGAGAAAAGGAAGGCAGCAAGCGCGCAAAUUACCCACUCUCGACUCCGGGAGGUAGUGACGAAAAAUAACAAUACAGGACUCUUUCAAGGCACUGUAAUUGGAAUGAGUUCACUUUAAAUCCUUUAAUGAGUACGCAUUGGAGGGCAAGUCUGAUGCCAGCAGCCACGGUAAUUCCAGCUCCAAUAGCGUAUAUUAAAGUUGCUGCAGUUAAAAAACUCAUAGUUGAAUCUUGGAUUCCAGCUGGCGGUCGCCGCGAGGUGAGCUACCGCCUGUCCCAGCCCCUGCCCGUGGGCGCCCCCAUGAAGCUCUUGCCCGAGUGUCCUAGGGAUUCCGAAGCGUUUACUUUGAAAUAAUGUGAGUGUUCAAAGCAGGCUGGUCGCCUGAAUACUUCAGCUAGGAAUAAUGGAAUAGGACUCUGGCUCUAUUUUGUUGGUUUUCAGAACUGGGGCCGUGAGACGGCCAGGGGCACUCGUAUUGUGCCACUGCAGGUGAAAUUCUUAGACCGGUGCAAGACGAACCAAAGCGAAAGCAUUAGCCAAGAAUGUUUUCAUUAAUCAAGAAUGAAAGUCUGAGGUUCGAAGAUCCUUUGUAGCUCCAACCAUAAACUAUGCAGACUAGCGAUCUGGCUGCAUUUUUCCCAUGACCUGCUGAGCAGCUUCUUUGGGUUCCGGGAGAGUAUGGUUGCAAAGCUGAAACUUAAAGGAAUUGAUGAAAGGGCACCACCAGGAAACCUCACCCGGACACGGAAAGGAUUGACAGAUUGAUAGUUCUUUCUCGAUUCUGUGGGUGGUGGAGCAUGGCCGUUCUUAGCUGGUGGAGCGAUUUGUCUGGUUAAUUCCGAUAACGAACGAGACUCCUCCAUGCUAACUAGUUAUGCGACCCCCCCGUCCCCUCGCCCCAGCGGUCAGCGUUCAACUUCUUAGAGGGACUAGUGGCGUUUCACACUAGAUUGAUCAAUAACAGGUCUGUGAUGCCCUUAGAUGUCCGGGGCUGCACGCGCGCUACACUGAACCAAUCAUCAUUUGUCUACCCAUUGCAGACAGGUGCAGCUAACCCGCUGAACCCCGUUUGUGAUAGGGAUUGGGGAUUGAAAUGAUUUCCCAUGAACAAGGAAUUUCCAGUAAGUGCGGGUCAUAAACUUGCGUUAAGUCCCUGCCCUUUGUACACACUGCCUGUCAUUACUACCGAUUGGAUGGUUUAUUGAGGUCCUUGGAUCGGCCCUCCGGGGUCGGCAACGGCCCUGGCGCAGCGGCGAGAAGACUAUCAAAUUUGACUAUCUAGAGGAAGUAAAAGUCAUAUGGGUUGGGUUAGCCUGCCGGGGACG
rnacentral:rRNA from 1 species